GGAAAAAAUAAGACGGAAGGUGCAAAAGGGAUCUAUUCAAAGAAGUUCGUCGAAAACCUGCCACGGCCAUAAACGAAAAACGACCAGAAAACAGAAUCAAAUUGCCAGUAUAUUCAGAAAGUUGAAUGUGGACAGUGUAUGGAAGAAGAAGAAGAAGAAUACGCAAUACGACACUGAAAACCAAAGUUUAAGAAGCACGAACCCCACAAAAAACUGGAUUUGACAUAAGGCCUCAGAUCACAAUUAAUUCCCUUUGUUCGUGGUCUAGGAAUAUAGUUCCCAAUUAUUAUAUAGGGUAUUUCUUCCCAAGUAAUCUGUCUACUAUUUUCUUUGAAAUGUUUACUAUUUAAGUGGUCCUAUCAGUUGCAUAUAUAUUGAAAUAAGUAAAACAUGUGGAAAAAAAAUAUUGUUGAAAGUGAAAGUAGUGAUUUGGCCAAACUGAAAGUAGGGUAGAAAUUAGCCUUCGUCAUUUAUUCAAGAUUCAAAUCCUACCAUUGGCAUGCUAAUAGGGCCCUCAAAAGAAAAAGCACUGAUGGAUUGUCCUGGGACAAGCAUAUUUUAUUAGAAUAAUAAUGGUCUAUAAGCAGUUAAAUUUAUUUCAUGUUUGUGGCGGUGCAAAUUUUUUAAUUCACUUUGACUUUAACUAAAAAAUGCAUUGUAGCCAAGGGGAAGAAUAAUUGUGUUCUGAGGCC
rnacentral:lncRNA from 1 species